rnacentral:misc_RNA from 1 species
UCCCCGAUUUCCGGGGCAGUCUCCUUAGAGUUCCCGACAUUACUCGCUGGCAACUAAGGAUAGGGGUUGCGCUCGUUGCGGGGCUUAACCCAACAUCUCACGACACGAGCUGACGACAGCCACGCAGCACCUGUGUUCCGAUUCCCUUUCAGGCACACCCACCUCUCAGCAGGCUCUCGGACAUGUCAAGGGUAGGUAAGGUUGUUCGCGUUGCAUCGAAUUAAUCCACAUCAUCCACCGCUUGUGCGGGUCCCCGUCAAUUCCUUUGAGUUUUAGCCUUGCGGCCGUACUCCCCAGGCGGGGCACUUAAUGCGUUAGCGUCGGCACGGGGGGAGUCGACACCCCCCACACCUAGUGCCCAUCGUUUACGGCGUGGACUAC